rnacentral:lncRNA from 1 species
CCUAGAACCUAGGCGAAUUCAUAAAGACAGAAAGUUUUUGAGGGGGUGGGGGAAGGAAGUGCGAACUAAGUGGAAACCGGUUCUUGUGGGGACGAGGCAAGAGCUUUAGCCGGAAGAAAGCUGCUCACUGCGCAACCUGGUGAGCACCCUGAGCAGCCCUGAAUUUGCUGUGCAAAGGUCACCUCCACCGAGGGAGGGCUGUGCGCCCCGGGUUCCCGCCCCGCUCCUCCGCACCCACUGCGGUUUCUCUUUCUCUUUCGGCGAUGGCGGAGCCCGGGCCUCGUCCUCGUCCUCGUCCUCGCCUGCCGGGGCCUGCGGCGUCCUGAGGGGACAUGUGGCCUUCCCCCCGGGGGCCAGGCACCCGAGGUCGUCGCCCUGAGGCUGCCCCUGUGCAAGGACGAGGAGUACCCGGUGGGCCCUGACUGCUGCCCCAAGUGCAACCCAGGUGGGUGGCGCCUUGCGGGGGCCCCCUGCCCUGCACCGGCCCACGGCCCCGCCCUGGCAGGAAGCCAGGACACAGGGGCCACGGGGGCCUGGCCAGGUGGAGCCGGCCACCAGCGGCCAGGGGAGGGGCCCGGAGCGCGCGCCCUGCCGCCAGGUGGAAGAGCCGGCCUUGGGGUCGGGGUCCCAGGCAGCCCACCAGAACCUUCCAGUGUCCCCAGAGCAGGCACCUCUCGGAAGACAGUCGGGGCUCUGGGUUUUGGGGUGGGGAAGCUCAGGUGCCCUGCGCCACCCUCCUUGGGCAUCUGGGGGGGGUUGAACGGGAGGGGGCGGGAGAGGGGAGGAGCGUGACGGUGGGAGUGGGGCGGCCCCAGCGCCCUGGCGCUGCCCUGUGAAGCAUCCACCCCGGGCCCGCAGGUUUCCGGGUGAAGGAGGCCCACGGGGCCUUGACCUGCUCGGUGUGCGUGCCGUGCCUCGCGGGGACCUACACUGCCCACCUGAAUGGCCUGAGCGAGUGCCUGCAGUGCCGCGUCUGCGACCCGGGGUACGAGGCCCCGCCCGCCCCUGCCCCCAGGAUGCGGGCAGACCCGCACCUUCCAGGGCCCCCUUCCCACUGACCCCUGACAGGACC